AUCUAACCUGGUGUCGGUCUCGCC
rnacentral:siRNA from 1 species